GGUCCAAUGGUCCAGUGGUUCACGANCGUCGCCUUUACACGGCGAAGAUCCCGAGUUCGAACCUCGGUUGGAUCA
rnacentral:tRNA from 1 species